rnacentral:misc_RNA from 1 species
GUAUAACUUUUAUAUAUAUAGGCCAACCAUUCUAAACAGAUUUUGUGAACAUAGACCUGCAAGGCAAAGCUGGCUUGUGAAGCACAGCAGUCCCAACUCGAAUGAAAUCCAGCUCCAGGUCUACAAGAGGUGCACAGUUUGGAGAAAUGAUAAAGAUGACAAGCGUGCACAUGCCCCCAGGAGGACCAGCAACAGCCUGUUCAAGUUUAUUCAAUAAUGAUCCUUCCGCAGGUUCACCUACGGAAA